AUUGAACGCUGGCGGAAUGCUUUACACAUGCAAGUCGAACGGCAGCACGGACUUCGGUCUGGUGGCGAGUGGCGAACGGGUGAGUAAUGUAUCGGAACGUGCCCAGUCGUGGGGGAUAACGUAGUGAAAAUUACGCUAAUACCGCAUACGAUCUAUGGAUGAAAGCGGGGGAUCGCAAGACCUCGCGCGAUUGGAGCGGCCGAUAUCAGAUUAGGUAGUUGGUGGGGUAAAGGCCCACCAAGCCAACGAUCUGUAGCUGGUCUGAGAGGACGACCAGCCACACUGGAACUGAGACACGGUCCAGACUCCUACGGGAGGCAGCAGUGGGGAAUUUUGGACAAUGGGCGAAAGCCUGAUCCAGCCAUUCCGCGUGCAGGAUGAAGGCCCUCGGGUUGUAAACUGCUUUUGUACGGAACGAAAAGGUUUCUACUAAUACUAGGAGCUCAUCACGGUACUGUAAGAAUAAGCACCGGCUAACUACGUGCCAGCCGCCGCGGUAC
rnacentral:rRNA from 1 species